rnacentral:rRNA from 1 species
UUCGGAUCGCAGGCUGCAACUCGCCUGCGUCAAGUUGGAAUUGCUAGUAAUCGCGGAUCAGCAUGCCGCGGGUGAAUACGUUCCCGGGCCUUGUACACACCGCCCGUCACACCAUGAGAGUCGGGAACACCCGAAGUCCGUAGUCUAACCGCAAGGAGGGCGCGGCCGAAGGUGGGUUCGAUAAUUGGGGUGAAGUCGUAACAAGGUAAC